rnacentral:lncRNA from 1 species
CACACAUUGCGUUCGGCAGUUAAGUUCGCGUUUAGCCCAGAACCUGGGCAGGAGAGACUACGCAGGACACCCGCUGACCGUCUAACAAAGAAGAAACAAUGGCUUCUCAAGGCGCAGAGGUUUGUGGGAAAUGUAGUCUUGAAUCCGGUUGGCUCACGGUGCAGCCGUCUGGGAAGGCUCCGGGUUACAUCUGCGCAUGUGCAGGCCCUGACCCGCUGUCCUGCUCUUGAGCUCCCGGCCCAGGCGGGGCGCUGACGCUGGAGCCCUGGUUGUAUGGCUCUGGGGGGGACUGCGGGGAGGGGGACACAGCGGGGAUUUCCUGAGAGGAGUGGACUUGUGACCCAGAGCGCGGGAGCACCCAGGCCCAGGGACCCCCAGCCUCAGCCCUCAGUGCGGGGCUCCGGGGUGCAGAGCUUCAGAGCAGAGACAGAAGAGCCCAGAAGGAAGCGGGUCUGCACAGCCCCAAGCAGUUCUUGAUCCUCCUGACAAGAAUGAGCCCGACUUGGUGAUCCUACUACGUUCAGAAGCCAACACACUGUGACAAUGGGGAGUUUGAGCCAUCCUUUAGAGGAGCCAGAGUAUUGCUUUAGAAAACCAGCUGUGACCUUCAAGUUGAAGGAAGGAGAAGAUCCAUGGUUAUUAGAGGAAGAACUUCUAAAUAGGAGCUCCCCAGAUACUGCAGUGCAUCGACUGUGCACCAAGUCUAGUGUGAGGAGGGCAGCUUCCUCCCAGUGAGGCGUGCCAGAUAAAGCCUUUGCCUGUCAGUGGGCCUGGAAGACCACAGAAGACUACCAACCUGAUAAAUUAUUAAAGAAGAGCCAAGAAAACCAAGGGAAACAUUUGUAGCAAUCAUCAAAGACAAAAUACUGACCACUGAGAAGAGAAAGUUUCAGGAAAACCACGUAAACUGGGCAUAGAUGCUUAUUUCAAGAAAAAUGCUUCGUAAAUUGUGAUACUGCAGUGUGUACAUACCUGGGUUUCGUCACGUUGGCCCCAUACUGUAGAGAAAUGGCUUGUCAACAUUAGGGAUGAGAGAACUUACAAUCAAGAGAAAUCUCCUAAAUAUAAUAAAAGCAUGAAAGAUCUCAAUUACAAGAAGGAAGUUAUUCAGCAUCAAACUAUCUAGACUUUGAGGCAAGCUCUUGAAUAUAAUAAACAUGGAAAAGCUUUCCAUGACAAGACUGCUCUUACUAUACCUUAGAGUGCCCACACAAAGCUGAGAUCCUGUAAUUAUAAAUUUGGCAAAAAUGUGAUAAAUCAAUCCUCAUUAUCUCUCAGACCAUUCACACAGAAAAGAGCCACUGAAUCUAAUGAAAAUUAAUAUAAUCAAAAUGGGGAUAAUUUCAGUAAGAUAACUCAAGUUCAGAGAACUGACACAAGAGGGAAACUUUCCAGCAGAAAAUUCUGACUUCAGAGAACAUGUGAGAACUCAUAGGAGUGAAAUCCUCGAACAUGGAAAAACCAGCCAUUACAUCAGAGAACUCACACAGCAGAGAAAUACUGUGAUUACAACAGAUGUAGGGAAAUCUUCAGUUCCCAACCAGCCUUCAAUAUAAAUCAGAGAACUCAUGAAAAGUGAAGCCCUGUGAGUGAAAUGAGUGGAGAAAAUCCUUCUCUAGGAAAUCACACCUCAUUGCACAUAAGAAAACACAGAGGAAAAAUACUAUGGUUGUAGUGAUCAUGGGAAAGCUUUCAGUGAAAAGUCAGCUCAAAGGGCAUCAGAGAACUCACAUAGAGAAGAAACCCUUUGAAUGCAAUGAAUGUGGGAGAGCUUUCAACUAUACCUCUGACAUAAGACAAUAUCAGAGAACUCACAUGGGGAACAGAUCCUAUAAAUGUGAUCAAUAUGACAAGUCUUUUAGCUGUAAGUUAACACUCACACUACAUGAGAGAACUCAGGAGAGAAACCCUUUGAAUAUAAUGAAUGUGGUAAAACUGUCAGCAAGGAAUCAGAACUAAGGAAAUAUCAGAGAACUCACACAGAAGGGAAACCCUAUAAAUGAUAAAUGUGGGAAAACUAAUCUGUAAGUCAGCCCCUACAGCACAUCACAGAAUGCACACAGGCGAGAAACCCUAUGAAUGUAAUGAACGUGAGAUGACUUCCCCCUGGGAAUUGGACCUCAGAACACAUCAGAGAACGUGCACAAGGGAGAAACCCCUGUGAAUGUAAUGCAUUUGGGGAAGCUUUCAGCCAGAAGUCACAGCUCAGAGUUUACCAGAGAAUUCACACAGGAGACUUUGCGUAUGUGAAUGUGAGCAGUUCUUUUCAAGAAAUCAGCUCUCACUAACCAUCAGGCAACAUACAGGAGAGAAGUGUAUGAAUAUAAUAAAUAUAUGAUAACACUCCUCUGGAAAUCUGACCUCACAGUUUUUCAGCCAGAGUUUAGGCCUCAUUAGAAAUCAGAGAAUUAGUCCAGGAAAGAAACUUGAUGAAGGUACUGUGGAUUUGCAUAUUCUAGACACUUCGUAUAAACAUAGUAAAUGUCAUUUAUGUUUCCUUCUCACUGCCUGGUAGAUUUUUCUUACGUCUCUGACCUUUUGUUCCAGCGAGUGAUAUUUUCAUCUGGAGAUCCAGAGGGAGUUAGGUUUCUGUGUGUCUGCGUACUAAGGGUCUUCACACCACUGCAGGCGGAAGAGAAUCCUGUGGAUAGAGGGUCUUCAUACUGUGGCCGGCAGUGACAGGCUUGACCAGGAGAUUCUUGGGCUUUAGCCCUCGCCUGGGUCUCCUUUCAUUGCUG